AGCAGUAGGGAAUCUUCGGCAAUGGGGGCGAACCCUGACCGAGCAACGCCGCGUGAGUGAAGAAGGUUUUCGGAUCGUAAAGCUCUGUUGUAAGAGAAGAACGUGUGUGAGAGUGGAAAGUUCACACAGUGACGGUAACUUACCAGAAAGGGACGGCUAACUACGUACCAG
rnacentral:rRNA from 1 species